AUCUCCUAUCAAUAACCCCACUCUCUGAAGCUCAAGCUCUCUCUCUCUCUCUCUCUCUCUCUCUCUCCCUAUAUCGUUCUUAUUUUUCGCUGCUAUCGAGCCAUUGUCGCUAGUCCAGUUGCCGCCUCAAGCUUUGCAUGCCGCUGUUUUCUUCUUGGUUUAAACUCCUGUUAUUUAUAAUAGAGGUUUUUGACAAGAGUAUUGUUUUACAAGUUGAUGGGGAAAGGGAAAGAUAAAAAAUCUCCAAGGCCUCCCAGCAUUGCUCCAUUAAUUCAAGUAUUGUCGUCUUACUCCCAGCUUGUGUUCUUUGAACUUAUAUUUAUUUAUAUCUUUAAUUGUGUUUAUAAAUCUAUUGUUUAUAUUUUAGGAAAUACCAAAAACAUUUUAUUCGGAUUGGUCGAGCUAUAUGCAUGGUUAUUAUGGAGCUAUGCCACCUCCAUUUUUUCCACCAUUUUUUCCCCAUCCAAAUACCCAUCACUAUCCAUGGGAGGCCAGCAAUUGUUGGCCCGACCGUUUAUAUCGCCAAUUCCUUAACCUAUUGCAUUC